GUACGUCUUCAGUCUUAAGUCAGAUUAGAAGAUUAUGUGACUCGAGCUGUAAAAGCCAAAGGUUGGUGAUGAUCCCAUACCCUUUUUUCCAGUCUCAUGUUGAAGAUUUUUUAUGUAGAAGGCCUUCCCAAAGGAAUUUUUUUUUUGAGAUGGAGUUUUCACUCUUAUUGCCCAGGCUGGGGUGCAAUGGCGCAACCUUGCUGGUCACUGCAACCUCUGCCUCCUGGGUUCAAGAAAUUCUC
rnacentral:lncRNA from 1 species